rnacentral:misc_RNA from 1 species
AAAAAAAAAAAAAACAACUCCCAAUGACAACAAAAAAUAGAUAAUCAACAAGCACUAGCAUGGCCAUUGAUUCAGGGCGUGAAAACUAGAAGGAAUUACCAUGUAUUGUAUGUUGAUUGAUCAAAUUUCUAAUUGCCGGGUUUCAGCUUGUUUUAGUGUAUAGUCCUUGUGGUAUGUAGUAGUGCAUGUAGUUAUUCAGGAUAGAAAAGAUAGACCAGCCUAAAGUCUAUCACUUACACCCACAAACCAGAAAUCUCCAAUGAAAUGAAUCUUAAUGCAACUAUUUGGGAAAUUGAACCACAGUUUUUUGUCACAUCAAAAUCACAUUGCAGAAACAUGAUGCAAUUUUCUCCUUUUAUCCAGCUGAU